GUCCGGGUGGCGGAAUAGGCAGACGCGCUAGCUUGAGGUGCUAGUGCCCCACAAGGGCAUGGGGGUUCAAGUCCCCCCUCGGACA
rnacentral:tRNA from 1 species